UACGCAGGGGGCUAGCGUUGCUCGGAAUUACUGGGCGUAAAGCGCACGUAGGCGGAUUGUUAAGUCGGGGGUGAAAUCCUGGAGCUCAACUCCAGAACUGCCUUCGAUACUGGCGAUCUAGAGUCCGGGAGAGGUGAGUGGAACUGCGAGUGUAGAGGUGAAAUUCGUAGAUAUUCGCAAGAACACCAGUGGCGAAGGCGGCUCACUGGCCCGGUACUGACGCUGAGGUGCGAAAGCGUGGGGAGCAAACAGG
rnacentral:rRNA from 1 species